CCUAGGGGGGCUGCAGUCGAGAAUCUUCGGCAAUGGGCGCAAGCCUGACCGAGCGACGCCGCGUGCGGGAUGAAGGCCUUCGGGUUGUAAACCGCUGUCAGAGGGGAGGAAAUGCAUGGGAGUUCUCUCUCGUGUUUGACCUAUCCUCAGAGGAAGUACGGGCUAAGUUCGUGCCAGCAGCCGCGGUAAUACGAACCGUACGGACGUUAUUCGGAUUCACUGGGCGUAGGGCGUGCGUAAACUGCUGGGAGAAAUCCCUCGGCUCAACCGAGGAAUUGCGCCCAAAACUACCUGGCUUGAGGAAGAUAGAGGUAAGCGGAACUAAUGGUGGAGCGGUGAAAUGCGUUGAUAUCAUUAGGAACACCUGUGGCGAAAGCAGCUUACUGGGUCUUAUCUGACGCUGAGGCACGAAAGCUAGGGGAGCGAACGGGAUUAGAUACCCUUGUAGUC
rnacentral:rRNA from 1 species